rnacentral:rRNA from 1 species
UUUAAUGAGAGUUUGAUCCUGGCUCAGGACGAACGCUGGCGGCGUGCCUAAUACAUGCAAGUAGAACGCUGAGGUUUGGUGUUUACACUAGACUGAUGAGUUGCGAACGGGUGAGUAACGCGUAGGUAACCUGCCUCAUAGCGGGGGAUAACUAUUGGAAACGAUAGCUAAUACCGCAUAAGAGUAAUUAACACAUGUUGGUUAUUUAAAAGGAGCAAUUGCUUCACUGUGAGAUGGACCUGCGUUGUAUUAGCUAGUUGGUGAGGUAAAGGCUCACCAAGGCGACGAUACAUAGCC